rnacentral:lncRNA from 13 species
GUUUUUGUAAAAAUGAGAAGAAAAAUAGAAAUGCUCUGCUUUGAAAGCAACAGAGUUUUCUUUUAGUUAAUAGUAACUAGAUAUAUAUUCAUUACUUCACAAUAGGGAUACAUUCUGAGAAAUAUGUCGUUAGGUGAUUUCUUCUUUUUGGUUUUGAGAUUAGGUCUUGCUGUGUCACCCAGACUGGAAUGCAGUGGCGCGACCAUGACUCGCUGCAACCUCAACUUCCCAGGCUCAAGCAAUCCUCCACGUCAGCCUCUUGAAUAGCUGGGAUUACGUGCCACCAUGCCUGGCUAACGACUUCUUCAUUGUGGAAACAUAGAGUGUACUUAUACAAACCUAGAGGGUACAACUUCUACACCUAAGCUAUGCAGUAUGGCCUAAUGCUAUGGUCAAAGCUACAAACCCAAACAGCAUGUUACUGUACUGAAUACUGUAGGCAACUGAAACACAAUGGAUCAGAGAGGCGGCAUGCCGCAGCGGGCACAGGGACAGUCUCGCUAUGCGACCUGGGUUUGAGUUGGCUUCACCACUUACCAGCUGUGUGAUCCUUGACAAGUCACCUGAUCUUUCUCUGUCUCCAUUUCCUUAGCUUUAAGUUGGGGAACAUAACAGAAGCUGACUCAUUAUUGAUGUUGGAAGGAUUAAAUGAAUAUAUACAAAGCACUUAGGAAGCAUUAAGUCUAAGCAUUUACUACUAUUGUUACUUCUUUUCAUGAACAUUGUUAAAAGGAGAUAGAUUAGUCAAAUCCAAAUGUAUAUAAUGUACUUUUAGAGGUGUUUUAUUUUAGUGAAAUGUACAUAAAAUUUACCAUUUUGGCCAUUUUAAGCCUACCGUUCAGUGGCAUUAAGUGCAUUCAUACCAUUGUAUAGCCCCCACCACUAUCCAUCUCCAAAACUUGUUCAUCAACCCAUACUGAAACUCUGUACACAGGAAUUCCUCCUCAUUGCCCCUGCCUCCAGCACCUGGUAACCACUGUUCUACUUUCUGUACCUGUGAAGAAAGACAUCUGAUUAUUCUAGGUGCCUUAUAUAGGUGGAAUCAUACUGUAUUUGUCCUUUAUAACUAUCUUAUUUCACUUAGCAUAAUACCUUUAAGGUUCAUCCAUGUCGUAGCAUGUUUCAGAAUUAUAUUCCUUAAGGCUGAAUAAUAUUCCUUUGCAUGUAUACAUCCCAUUUGAUUUAUUCAUUCUUCUUGUUCAUUCAUGGACAUUUGGGUUGAUUACAUAUUUUUGCUACUGUGAAUAAUGCUACUAUGAACAUUGGUACACAAAUAUCUGUUUGUGGUGGAUCAGAUGAGGAAAAUGUGGUACAUAUAUAUCAUGGAACACUAUGCAGCCAUAAAAAAGAAUGAAGUCAUAUCCUUUGCAGCAACAUGUAUGCAGCUAGAGGCCAUUAUCCUAAGUGAACUGAUGCAGGAACAGAAAACCAAAUACCGUAUGUUCUCACUUAUAAGUGAGAGCUAAACAUUGAGCACACAUGGACAUAAAGAUGGAACAACAGAUACUGGGUAUUACUUGUGGAGGAGGGCACAGUGGGAGAUUGAAA